CAGCGGAAAUCUUGAGAAUCUACGUGAAGUUAGUAUUUUAUCUGGCAAUAAAACCGGAGAUCAGGAAACGACGCCAGCGGGAGGUGACCACAGUGACAAGGCUCUCUACCUGGGGAUAGGGUUUGCCUCCGUGGGCACCCUAGCCAUACUGGCUAUGAUUAUAGUUUUAAUAAAGUGCGACAGUUCCAAAAUCUAUAUAUGCGACGCCUGCAAUAAAAGUCUCCCAGCUAUCGGCUGUUUAAAACCCCAACCCAAGAAACGCGGUAGCAUUCGUUACAACACCAGGCAGGUUUCGAUAGAUCCCUCGACGGUUAGUGAGCCGCAGCCGGUUGAAUUCUACCUUGAAACUAGGUCUCGCCAUGGCAGCAACGCCA